AGAGUUUGAUCCUGGCUCAGGAUGAACGCUGGCGGCGUGCCUAAUACAUGCAAGUCGAGCGAACGGACGAGAAGCUUGCUUCUCUGAUGUUAGCGGCGGACGGGUGAGUAACACGUGGAUAACCUACCUAUAAGACUGGGAUAACUUCGGGAAACCGGAGCUAAUACCGGAUAAUAUUUUGAACCGCAUGGUUCAAAAGUGAAAGACGGUCUUGCUGUCACUUAUAGAUGGAUCCGCGCUGCAUUAGCUAGUUGGUAAGGUAACGGCUUACCAAGGCAACGAUGCAUAGCCGACCUGAGAGGGUGAUCGGCCACACUGGAACUGAGACACGGUCCAGACUCCUACGGGAGGCAGCAGUAGGGAAUCUUCCGCAAUGGGCGAAAGCCUGACGGAGCAACGCCGCGUGAGUGAUGAAGGUCUUCGGAUCGUAAAACUCUGUUAUUAGGGAAGAACAUAUGUGUAAGUAACUGUGCACAUCUUGACGGUACCUAAUCAGAAAGCCACGGCUAACUACGUGCCAGCAGCCGCGGUAAUACGUAGGUGGCAAGCGUUAUCCGGAAUUAUUGGGCGUAAAGCGCGCGUAGGCGGUUUUUUAAGUCUGAUGUGAAAGCCCACGGCUCAACCGUGGAGGGUCAUUGGAAACUGGAAAACUUGAGUGCAGAAGAGGAAAGUGGAAUUCCAUGUGUAGCGGUGAAAUGCGCAGAGAUAUGGAGGAACACCAGUGGCGAAGGCGACUUUCUGGUCUGUAACUGACGCUGAUGUGCGAAAGCGUGGGGAUCAAACAGGAUUAGAUACCCUGGUAGUCCACGCCGUAAACGAUGAGUGCUAAGUGUUAGGGGGUUUCCGCCCCUUAGUGCUGCAGCUAACGCAUUAAGCACUCCGCCUGGGGAGUACGACCGCAAGGUUGAAACUCAAAGGAAUUGACGGGGACCCGCACAAGCGGUGGAGCAUGUGGUUUAAUUCGAAGCAACGCGAAGAACCUUACCAAAUCUUGACAUCCUUUGACAACUCUAGAGAUAGAGCUUUCCCCUUCGGGGGACAAAGUGACAGGUGGUGCAUGGUUGUCGUCAGCUCGUGUCGUGAGAUGUUGGGUUAAGUCCCGCAACGAGCGCAACCCUUAAGCUUAGUUGCCAUCAUUAAGUUGGGCACUCUAAGUUGACUGCCGGUGACAAACCGGAGGAAGGUGGGGAUGACGUCAAAUCAUCAUGCCCCUUAUGAUUUGGGCUACACACGUGCUACAAUGGACAAUACAAAGGGCAGCGAAACCGUGAGGUCAAGCAAAUCCCAUAAAGUUGUUCUCAGUUCGGAUUGUAGUCUGCAACUCGACUACAUGAAGCUGGAAUCGCUAGUAA
rnacentral:rRNA from 2 species